rnacentral:misc_RNA from 1 species
GAUGAAGAACGUAGCGAAAUGCGAUAAGUAAUGUGAAUUGCAGAAUUCAGUGAAUCAUCGAGUCUUUGAACGCACAUUGCGCCCCCUGGUAUUCCGGGGGGCAUGCCUGUCCGAGCGUCAUUGCCGCCCUCAAGCACGGCUUGUGCGUUGGGCCCCCGCCCCCCGGCUUCGGGGGGCGGGCCCGAAAGGCAGCGGCGGCACCGCGUCCGGUCCUCGAGCGUAUGGGGCUUCGUCACCCGCUCUGUAGGCCCGGCCGGCGCCCGCCGGCGACCCCAAUCAAUCUUUCCAGGUUGACCUCGGAUCAGGUAGGGAUACCCGCUGAACUUAAGCAUAUCAAUAAGCGGAGGA